rnacentral:tRNA from 1 species
GCCAGUGUAGUGUAGUGGUUUGAGCAUUCGACUAGGACACUGGGAGACCAGGAUUCAAAUCCCUGCUUAGCCA